GUUGGUUUAAGUAAUUGCUCCCUCUCCAGAAGAGAAGAGAAGAGAAGAAAAGAUAUACGACUAGUAUACAUACAUGCAUGCAAUCUCCCAACUCCAAGGAAAGAUGGAAGAGCGGUUGAUGACUCCCUUUUGCUAGUAGAAAAGGUAGGUUGAUGAUUGCCUUUUGCUAGUAGAAAAGGGUAGGAGAAGGAAGGGGUGAUUGUGAGGUCAAGCAAGGAAUCCGAGCUUCUCUCCGUUCUUCUUGGCGAGGCGGAUCAAGCCCUGCCUCUGCUUGGGGUCAGCGCCGAUGGUCUUGCAGAACUCGGUGAUCACCUGUUUAUUUGGUUUCCGUAUGUCAAUAAAUUUAUUAAGCUGUUUGGCACUCCCUUCGUCUCAAAAUAAGCGUUUUAAGUAUGUCAAUAAAUUGAUUAAGCUGCUUGAUACUUCCUUUGUUUCAAAAUAAAUAUCGGUGUCGAUGAUCUAAGAUUGGUUGUAAUAAAAAGUAUCAUAUAUUAUUAUCAUGCAUAUGAUAUUAAUAUAUGAUAAUACAUCUGUAAUACAAAGUAUCAUAGGAUAGUUCAUUUAUUGUCAUGCAUGACAUAUAAUAUAUAGAACAACAUUUAAUUAUAUGUCACCUUAUUAAAAUUGUCUAAUUACCUUGCAUAAUACCACCUAUGAUACUUUCGUUACAACCAGCUUAAUACAAAAUUUAUACAAAUUUUAAUGAUAAAUUUAACAUUUAUUUUGAGACGGAGGAAGCAUAUGUUACUCCAAGCGGAAGGGAGGAGCUAGGUACCUGGGAGUGCAGCGCGAUGGCCUUGCCCCUGAGCUGGUUGAAGCGCUUGCGUCCAACGAUGUUGCGCACCACCACCACCAAGGGCGCGAAGAUGCCCUUGCCCUCGUUUACAUUGCCCAUCCUGGCGGGCGUCCGAAGGGGCCGCGCCGACCGCGGCCGCGCCGACACCGACAUGGCCAGCGCCGAGCAGUGGUCGUCACCGGACACAGAGCUAGACCACGUCGGAAGAGCUCGCAGCCCGUAGGACACCGACGCAGUCAUCUCUGCUCUCCUUCCUCUUCUCCGCUGUGCUGUCCCGUGCAGUGUGGGGGAAUGGAGAAUAUGGUGAAGACGUAGCCAAGACGAUGACGGAUGACGGACCGCUGGUGGCCAGCCAAAGCCCCCUCUCUCUUCCGAUUCCAGUUGUGAGGGGAUGAGGAGUUUCUGGGCAGCAACGGAGGGCCUAUGCCGUGCCACCACGUCAUCUUUCCUUGGCCUUUUUCCAUUUCUCUGCCACGUCAUCCUUAAGACGGAUUGAGCCAAAAGUCUAGUGAAGCACAAUGCCACUUUCAAGUAAAACUAACUAUGGAGUAGUAAACUAUAAUUGACAUGGAAAGAGAAAGCAAAAAGCAUGAACAUCUCUACCAAACCUCGUAUAAUCAUUAAAACUGUAAAGUUUCAGCGAUUAUAUGGGUUUGAGCCGUUUUACCUCAUCGAACAGGCACCACAAACGAAGUCCAACCCGUAAUUUUUUUACGGUGGUCCGAAAACGAGAUCGUGCGACCACUAUAUGUGCGAGUUCGGCUGUUGGAUACGGUCCGAACCCUAUCCCUCCGUCGUUGUGAAAACUCUCCACCCCUCACCGUCGGCGCCUCCAAUCCGCCGCCUCGCCCCUCCAAUCCAUCGCCCGAGAUGGCCAACUCCGGUCGCCGUGGCAAUGACAACCACGAGAGGGUGCGUUACGUCAGAUCCAACGCGGCGGUACACGCGUUGGGGCCGAUCGCCGCCGUCGUCGCUCCUCCGCCGCGAGACAGAGGAGUACGACCACGCGUGCGACCACCUCUUCUCCGGCAGCAGUAGCUCCUCCGAGGCAUUGAGUUCGCGCUCCUCCCUCACCUCAAUGAAGAGGGAGCUAGAGGAGCUCCCCUCGAUGAAGAUGAAGCCGAAGGAUGAGGCGCGGCCGGAGCGACGUGUCGGGGGCGUCGUCGGGCCGGAGGACUUCCUCCCCCCGACGAAGGCGAAAACCCUUCUGCCCUUGCUGCUGGCGCGCAGGGCGAAAGAAGACAGGCAGCGCCGUCGGAAGGACAAAGAGAUCGACACCGUGUUCUACGAGCAGCAUGUCACAUCAGACCUCGCCUUCGGCAACAAGGUGGAGUGGCGCCGCGAAGCCACUGAACAGGAACACAUCUAUGUCGACCUCUACUCCGAUGACGACAACGACUGAGCGCUGCCGCAUGACAACUACCGCACAAGCUCCGAUGAGCUCUAUUUAGUGUGACAUGAUAGUUAGCUUAGCUCGACCUCGGCAUCACCGCCACGAGAACCCCAACCCCCUUCUAGUAGUAGUAGUAGAAUGUAUACGUAUGAUCAUGUAGUAUGUGAUGAACUAUAAAUGAUCAAUGCGGUUGCAAUUUCUUCCGCAAAAGUUUUUUUAAAAUUAUACAAUUUUAUAUGUUGGAUCUAUUCUGCAACGCACGAUUUGACCUGACAAAACCCCGCUUCAUCGAACUAUAGAUGCCUUAUGGGGUCGGAAAAAUACGGGGUCUAGAGAUGCUCUAAGCACCGGUAGUGAAGCAAGUGAACUGCAAUUAUUGUUAGGUAUCCCACAAUAUAAAACCGUUUUGCAAAAUAACAUCGGAGGGAGUACACCACAGUGACAGACUGACGACACAUAUAAUAAAGUUCCACUUGCUCUGCAUCAGGCAGUUUUAGUUGGUUUUACUACAUCCCAACCCCAAAAUAUGACUGGCUGCCACCACCCCUUGCAUCUAUCUGCAAACACUCUUCUUCCACCGCUCUUGACCAAAUGCAAAUCCUUAGUUCCGACUAGCACUUGCCCUAAUCCUCUUCCCUGCCAAUGAAAAUCGUCAUAUGUACAUGGUGCUCCAAAUUAAGCACACCACGUCCAGUCACCAGAUAUGUUCCGACAGCAAAAAUGUUUUUUUAAUAAGCAGUAAAAAAAGGGUAGGCGUACUUGAAUUCUUCGGACCGCCACGGCAAUACUUGCUUCCACACUUGCAGUCGAAUGCUUUAUUGAGGUAAUCAGUACCAUCAAAAUCAAUGCCAUAAUCCUGAAAUCACAACUCAAAGUGGGUGAUGGUCACUCACAACAAAAAUAUGGAUCUAAGCCAGCAAAACUUCUUAAUUUCUUUCAGCUCUACAUGCACAUUUCGGCAUUUCAAGUGCUGGCAACCUAUAUGAAAUAAGGCCGCCGAAACAUCAGCCACUUAAUUUGACACAAAGGUGUCAGCUCAACAUACUAUAGUUAAACUGCUGAAUUGAGUGAGCACCAUAAUAAUAUAGUUUCUGCCUCACGUCCCCCCUAUCGCUCAUGAGGAUCUGGCAAAAAGUAGCUGCCGCAGGACGUCACCGCGGUGAUCGCGACCUCCCCCCGUGCAGAUGAGACCAUUCACAUCCAAAUGAAACCACACUGAAUGAGGUCUCCAAAUAUUAUCUCGGGUGGACAAACUGUAGACGGGUCAGGUAACAGAGUCGUCGCCUAGGAUGAGACCAAGUGACGUACAAUUAGGCCUAUUAGCACCUAAUUAAUAGUAAAAGACAAAAUUACCCUUCCUAAUGUAGGAAGGGGGGUGUACUGAAGCAGGCCCCAAUUAAUAUGCAUGCGAGCCUCAUAUUGUGCAGAUAUUAAUUAAGCAUAUAAUCCAGUAGUGGCAGGUGGUUGUCAUGGACUAGUGUUUAGAAAAUGAUACGAACACUUACCAGUGUUAACUCCUCAAAAGCCUCUAUUUUCUUGGCAGUGAAUAAUGCAAGCUGCGUUAAGAGGGGGGAAACAUCAAUUACCAGUAUGCAUGUAGCUGCAAAUCAAGCACCUUCGGUGCAGAAAUGGAUAUAAAUUGCCAAAAAUCAGUUACAUGAUAAUAAUGGCGAUCAGGAGUCUCGACUUCAACAGGUAUGAUAACUAAAUUUGCAUCAUAGCAUCUACAUGGCAAAGCAUUAUUAUUAGACACAAAUCAGCGAAAAGUACAAAUAUAGCAUUAAUAAACAAGGCUCCCGAUGCCUUUAUAAAUGAACAAGUGGGAAAAGACAUACCUAUGGUUGACAAAUCGCCCGACAUUCCCAUAAAAUGUCGGAUCAAUACAAAGAGCUUCCUCAUCUCUUAGCACCCCUUCAGAACCCCAACUAGCGUCUAGGAGCAUUUGAUGCACAUUCUUAGAAUUCUUGGCUUUUCUCUCAUGUAGUUCAGAACUUGUUAGUACCUCUCCGACUAAUUCACAGAUGAAAGCACCUUUUGGCAGCCCAUCCAGCGUGCAUAGCCCCCAGCCCUUCCCUUCAUUCGUGAAAAACACCUGAAUCACGGAAAAAUGGUAAGCUCAUCCCAUGCUACUAGGUUGAAACAAAAGUAAAGGGAACAAAGUGAAGGCUCAAUUUGCUUGUGCUUACAAAAAUGGAGCAGGAAACACAUUAAUAUAGCAAAACAAAUGAAUGAUGUCAACGGCCAUCCAUCAAAGAACAGAAUGAUCCAUAAAGAAACUACUGUUGAAUGAUCCAACAAUGGGAGGCCACAAAAGUUUAACAGCUGCGAUAACCUACAUAUGAUUUAAAAUAGUACCUGGAGAUUACAUGUUAUCCCACGCUGAAUCACACGAUUUCCACACUGCAUGCCACAGCCACAUUUACUCCAACACUCCUUAAUGAAUUUUCUAGCAAGAUGACCUUUACAUGGAUCUGGUGAGGUCUUAUUUAUUUCAAGAGGGCAAGCUUUACAGUAGAACUUGUUAUCCUUUUCUGGGAAGUGAUUAAUAGCAAUGCACUCAUCAACUAAUUCUGCCCUGACCAGGCCCUCUGGUGUGUAUGCAAUCUCACCUCCAGUUGAUCUUGCACAUGCACAUGGA
rnacentral:lncRNA from 1 species